rnacentral:rRNA from 1 species
CCUACGGGGGGCAGCAGUGAGGAAUAUUGCGCAAUGGGGGAAACCCUGACGCAGCAACGCCGCGUGAGUGAUGAAGGCCUUCGGGUCGUAAAGCUCUGUCAGAGGGGAAGAAAUGCAGGUGGUGAACAACCAUUCUGUUUGACGGUACCCUCAAAGGAAGCACCGGCUAACUCCGUGCCAGCAGCCGCGGUAAUACGGAGGGUGCGAGCGUUGUUCGGAAUUAUUGGGCGUAAAGCGCGUGUAGGCGGUUUGUUAAGUCUGAUGGAAAAGCCCCGGGCUAAACCGGGUAAGUGCAUUGGAUACUGGCAGACUUGAGUACGGGAGAGGAGAGUGGAAUUCCCAGUGUAGGAGUAAAAUCCGUAGAUAUUGGGAGGAACACCGGUGGCGAAAGCGGCCUCCUGGACGGCUACUGACGCUGAGACGCGAAAGCGGGGGGAGCAAACAGGAUUAGAUCCCCUGUUAGU